rnacentral:rRNA from 1 species
GUCCACGCCCUAAACUAUGGAUACUAAGUGUCGGCGGGUUACCGCCGGUGCCGCAGCUAACGCAUUAAGUAUCCCGCCUGGGAAGUACGGCCGCAAGGUUGAAACUCAAAGGAAUUGACGGGGCCCGCACAAGCGGUGGAGCAUGUGGUUUAAUUCGACGCAACGCGAAGAACCUUACCCAGGUUGGACAUGCACGUAGUAGAAAGGUGAAAGCCUAACGAGGUAGCAAUACCAGCGUGCUCAGGUGCUGCAUGGCUGUCGU